CCUCAACUCUACAACAGCACCUUAUGGAAACAGUGCACUGACACUGUAUAACUCCUCAGACUGCACUGGCUUGUAUGUUGCCCUUCAGCACUGGCGCUCUACUUUUAAAACGGUGCAACGUGAGCAGAUGGCAGCCAUCUGCCAGCUGCUGAAAGACAACCAGGAAACGUUUGGGGAGGUAUCCGAGGGAGAAAUGGAGGAGCAGCUCAGACUACUCCAUCUGAGACGCCUCUUUGUGUUUUCAGGAUCAUAAAGGACUACUCCAGUACAAUAAACUUGUUCACAGUAUUCAACUCAAGCUGUGCAGUCCACUCAACACCACUCUCAUUUGUUUUUCAUAUGAUGUACUUUGUUUUAUUAUGUUGUUAUAUUGCUGUAGCAUCCACCUGUCAGUCACAUGAAGAAUAAACCAAUACAGCAUUUUAAAGCUACCCAUAAGUAAAUAAAAGGGAUAAAGGAC